rnacentral:ncRNA from 16 species
ACAGAGAGAUAAAAUAUCACUUAUAUAUACCCUGAAUAAGGCGGGGAGUUUCUACCGGAAACCGAAAAUUUCCGACUAUGGGUGAGUGGAUUUGUUGC